GCAUGAUUGGUCCAACGGUAGGAUAUUUGCCUUCCACUUGUGGCGCAAGCAAAUGGCUCGGGUUCGACUCCCGGAUCAUGCA